ACGGGGUGCAGCAGGCGCGAAAACUUCGCAAUGCGCUAAAGCGCGACAAGGCUACUCUGAGUGCUACCCGCUGAGGGUGGCUUUUCCUAGGUCUAAAUAGCCUAGGGAAUAAGGGGAGGGCAAGCCUGGUGUCAGCCGCCGCGGUAAUACCAGCUCCCCGAGUGGUUGGGAUGUUUAUUGGGCCUAAAGCAUCCGUAGCCGGUUCUGUAGGUCUCCCGUUAAAUUCAACGGCUCAACCGUUGAGCUGCCGGAGAUACCGCAGGGCUAGGAGGCGGGAGAGGCGGACGGUACUCCGUGGGUAGGGGCAAAAUCCUCUGAUCCACGGAAGACCACCAGUGGCGAAGGCGGUCUGCCAGAACGCGCUCGACGGUGAGGGAUGAAAGCUGGGGGAGUGAACCGGAUUAGAUACCCGGGUAGUCCACGCUGUAAACGAUGUAUGCUCGGUAUUUGUGCUGUUACGGCAUGGGUACCCCAGGAAACCCGGUAAGCAUACCGCCUGGGAAGUACGAACGCAAGUUUAAAACUCAAAGGAAUUGGCGGGGGAGCAC
rnacentral:rRNA from 1 species